rnacentral:lncRNA from 1 species
GCUCCCGGUGACCCCGCGCAAAGGCCGGGCCUCCUGCGGUCCAGCUCCGCUCCGCCCGCCCGGGAGAUCAGCCCUUCCUUCCCGGCCUCCUCGCCUUCCUCGGGGCGCCUCCCUCGGCCGGCCCUGAGUCGUUUCCCAGGCUGCGCGCGAAAACCAAAGCCACCAGCGCUGCAACCCACUCGCCGCAGGAACAAGGACACUGGCCACUCAGCUCUUACGGACGGUCGGGGCGCCUCCGAUCGCGGAGAUGUGCAGGAUGAAGACUGGAGAGACGAAGCACCUGCCAUCCUGCAUCUGGCCUCACCUCCCAACACACAGCUGCCCAGGGGCAGAGCCAAGAAGAAUCCAGUAGGGCCAAUGACUCAGGGACAGCUGGAGACUCUGCUCUGAGUCGAGAACAGUUCGAGCGAAGGAGCUGAUCAGAUGUGGAAACAGGCCCAAAGAAGUUAGGAGGCUGGUUCAAGGUCACACAGCUUGUUCUUAGUCAGCCCGGGACCAGAGUGAGCCGCCCCCCAGCCCAUCAUCACCAUCUCUCCGUGGAGGUCCUCCGUUCUGCAGUUCUGCAGGAAAAGAGGAGAGAGGAACGCAGCACUUAAACCAGAGACUUGAGAAGGGGCCAGCUGGCAAGCUGGUAGAAGGCAGAACUCGUAAAAAUGCUGCACAUUCUCAAAUACAUCCCAUCUAAUCAUGACGAUAAUGGUAAUAACGGUUACUACAUAAGCACAAGUGCCGAAAAUCUCUG